rnacentral:rRNA from 1 species
UACGUAGGUGACAAGCGUUGUCCGGAUUUACUGGGCGUAAAGAGCGCGCAGGCGGUCGUUCAAGUCGAGUGUGAAAGCCCCCGGCUCAACUGGGGAGGGUCAUUCGAUACUGAUCGACUCGAAGGCAGGAGAGGGAAGUGGAAUUCCCGGUGUAGUGGUGAAAUGCGUAGAUAUCGGGAGGAACACCAGUGGCGAAGGCGGCCAACUGGCCCGAUACUGACGCUGAGGCGCGAAAGCGUGGGGAGCAAACAGGG